GCCAUGCUUUAGUUUGGGAUGAUUUCAGUCACAGUGUUUGAUCUAUUUGCUGGUUCAAAAUGAUCUCUGGAUUCAAGAGGAAUAAUAUGCAAAGUAUGAGAACAAUAUCUACUCUUAUCUUUGACAAAAUGCAAAUCGGAAAAGGAAGAAUUUAAAGAAAUUCUAAACUUGUGGAAGACAAUGGUUUUCUUGAGCAAUACAGAAGCUACAGGAAACGUUAAGUAGGAUAUGUCUUCCUAAAUCAAGUUUAAGAUAAAUUCAUGCUUUGAGGUUUGAAAAAUAGCAACCUUUUUAACAUUAUUAA